rnacentral:piRNA from 1 species
UUCAAUGCCUGGUGUUGUUCGUUAAAGUGC